rnacentral:other from 1 species
AAGACCCUGCGGUGUUCGUGGAGAAGACCAUAUUUUAACCAACACUAUUUAUAAGGGAAUCCGAACUCUGAUUAUGGCAUAUACGCCCCCCUUUACGGUCAGGGGACAUAUAAAAUGAUUAGGAGGAUACCCACCUGCUCUGCAGGUUUAAAAUAAGUCCAUUCACGGCUCAGUGGGGUGAAU